rnacentral:rRNA from 1 species
UAAGGAAUAUUGCGCAAUGGACGAAAGUCUGACGCAGCAACGCCGCGUGCGGGAAGAAGGGCUUCGGCUCGUAAACCGCUUUUCUGUGGGAAGAGCAAGGACGGUACCGCAGGAAUAAGUCUCGGCUAACUACGUGCCAGCAGCCGCGGUAAAACGUAGGAGGCGAACGUUAUCCGGAUUUACUGGGCGUAAAGCGCGUGCAGGUGGUCUGUUAAGUCGUGCGUGAAAGCUCCCUGGCUCAACCGGGAGAGGUCGUGCGAUACUGACGGACUGGAGACAGAGAGAGGCAAGUAGAAUUCCGGGUGUAGUGGUGAAAUGCGUAGAUAUCCGGAGGAAUACCAGUGGCGAAGGCGGCUUGCUGGCUCUGUUCUGACACUCAGACGCGAAAGCAUGGGGAGCGA